UACGGAGGGGGCUAGCGUUGUUCGGAAUUACUGGGCGUAAAGCGCGUGUAGGCGGAUGAGCAAGUCUGCUGUGAAAGCUCCUGGCUUAACCGGGAGUGGUCGGUGGAAACUGCUCGUCUGGAGGACGGUAGAGGUAGGUAGAAUUCCCGGUGUAGUGGUGAAAUGCGUAGAGAUCCGGAGGAACACCAGAGGCGAAGGCGGCCUGCUGGGCUGCACCUGACGCUGAGCCGCGAAAGCCAGGGGAGCAAACGGG
rnacentral:rRNA from 1 species